GACGGAGGGUGCAAGCGUUGUUCGGAUUGACUGGGCGUAAAGGGCGUGUAGGCGGUUGGUCAAGUCUGAUGUGAAAGCCCGGGGCUCAGCCCCGGAAGGGCAUCGGAAACUAGCCAGCUGGAGCGCGAUAGAGGGAGGGUGGAAUUCCUGGUGUAGCGGUGAAAUGCGUAGAUAUCAGGAGGAACACCGGCGGCGAAGGCGGCCCUCUGGAUCGUUGCCUGACGCUGAGACGCGAAAGCG
rnacentral:rRNA from 1 species